GCCCAGAGUGGAUCCCUGCCAGUUCCUGGCGUCAGACCCUCCCUGGAGCCUCAUAGCUGGCCAGGUCACCCUCUUUUGGACAGGAAGCCCCUCUUGGCCUGCCCCCUCAUUCUCCAGCCUCUCCUUUCCUCCCUCCCCUCUCCUCCUCCUGUCUACCCACCUCCCCACUUCCUCUCAGCCUCACACAAAGGCACAGGCCUUUCUCUCCCCCUCACAAUCGGCCAUAUGGCUCUAUUAUUCUAAUAUUCUGGAGACUUAUGACAACAAUGCUGAGGAACCGAACUGUCGGGUGCUCUGAGGUGCCAGCCUUGCCUUGAAGACACAUCUGGGCUGAAAGCCACUCUCCGGAAGGCAGCCGUUUGGAGGCAGGAAUUCUGAAUCUCCACUUUUACAGAUGAGAACCAGAAAAGCGAAGGGACUACCAAGAUUACACAGCUGUUAGCGGCAGAACUGAGAUUCCACCUGGAUCUUCUGGCCACGAUGCCAACUCUUUGCCCAUCAAACCAGAGUGUCCCCAGGAUUCCCGAGGGCAGGGAGCUGGACACAGCUACUGUGGACCCAGGGAAGCGCUGACCAUCAGGAUUUGGCAGUGAGAGCCUCCGUCCAUCUCCCACCCUCCGGACUUCGAUGUUGGGGCCAGCAGACAGGAGCCAUCAGACACGUUCUUUUCGGGCUGCCUCUUCCUCCGUCCAGCUCAGGAAAUGAGCUCUGAAAGACAAGCGCUGAGUGGGGUCCAGACAACAUAUCCAUGCUCAGGGCAGGAAGUAGGAAGGCGGGCAGGGAGGUCCCAGGCAUAUCUGUCCCCUUCUCUCAGAAAAACAAUGCUUUUAUACAAAUCUCCCCAGCAGACUUCUGCUUGUUCUCUUUGGAAAGAACCAGAACAUGUGGCCAUUCCUAGCUGCAAGAAAGUCUGGGAAAAAGGGAGCAAGAUUAUCAUGAUUGGCUUAGACCAGGGUCAGCAACCUUCCGUGAAGGCCUAGAUGGUAAAGACUUGAGGCUUGGUGGCCGUAGACUCUGUCACAACUACUCAACUCUGCCUUUGAAGCACGAAAGCAGCCCCAGACAAUACACAACAAAUGGGUGUGGCUGUGUUCCCAUUAAACUUUAUGGACACA
rnacentral:lncRNA from 1 species